UACGUAGGGCGCAAGCGUUGUCCGGAAUUAUUGAGCGUAAAGAGCUCGUAGGCGGCUUGUCACGUCGGAUGUGAAAGCCCCGGGGCUUAACCCCCGGGUCUGCAUUCGAUACGGGCAGGCUAGAGUUCGGUAGGGGAGAUCGGAAUUCCUGGUGUAGCGGUGAAAUGACGCAGAUAUCAGGAGGAACACCGGUGGCGAAGGCGGGUCUCUGGGCCGAUACUGACGCUGAGGAGCGAAAGCGUGGGGAGCGAACAGG
rnacentral:rRNA from 1 species